GGAGUGAAAAAAAGAAAGCAGGACGACAUGGUGGGGUAUACAAAAAGAGAAUGGAGGAGGAGCACGCGGGCGGGGAGGGGAGGGAGGGGGGGGGGGCACGAUGCUAUGCCACGGCGGGCCAUGA
rnacentral:ribozyme from 1 species